AUGGUUGAAAAACUGAUGCAGGCUCCUCCAGCGCCGCUCCAGUUGGAGUAGGAUGCGACACUUGGCUUUGGGACUCUGAAGACGAUGUUUCAUCUGUUUCUGCCCCUGUGAGGGAUGGGCUGACAUUGCAGAUGGUGUCUUGUAGCCAUGCAGACAGUCCCAGGUCAGCAUCUGAAGCAGUUCCUGGAUGGAGUGGGACCUUUUCCCGGAAACACCUUCUCUGGUGUAAAACUCAACAGGAAACAAGUAGAUGAUGACUUCCACAAAGUGAAA